CUACCUUUCUUCACAUCCAUUGAAAAUAAGCUUAAACAGUUUCGAUCAUUAAUUUUAGGCCUCGCUUUGGUUUCUAGCUCUUUCUCAUAUUAAUACUCCAAAACUGCUGUCAUUUGUCCUCAAUUGAAAUCAAUUCUUUUCCACAAAUCACCCUUGCUUUACUUCUCAAAAUGAGAAAAAUGUGCGCUUUAUUGACAUUGUAUGUGAUUGUCUUGCGUUGCCGAACCCUUGAUGCGAACUUUUUGUGGGCCGAUGAGAAAGAAUGGACACAGAUGGACAAAUUGAGUUUAAUUGAGUCACAAACACUAAUAUAUUUCACAAAUGGAAAACAAAU